rnacentral:lncRNA from 1 species
GUGAAACUAAGAAAUUGUAGCUAAAAAAUAUGAAUAUUAAGGUUAGAGAAGGAGAGCAAUUAACCUUCAAGCAAAGCUUUGAAAUUAUCAUCUAUAUGGUAAGUGAAAUCUUCUUCAAAUUAUUUGUACUUAUUGCUAAUUUAGUUUUUGCAAGGUAUAUAGAUUUUGAAUCAAAAUCAACAAUUCAAUCAUUAGUUAUUGAAUCUUUAAACUACUAAAAGAUUAUUAAGAGUUUGUUUAAGAUUUAGGAUCUGAUCAAGGAUUAAUUAGGAUUGAUUUAGGAUUAAGAUUUGAUUAGGAUUUAGGAUUUAUUAAAAAUUUAACUAGAUUUUUUUUAGGAAUUAUUAAAUUUUGAUUAGGAUUUGAUUAGGAUUUGAUUAGGAUUUGACCUAAGACUUGAUUAAGGUCUACUUAGGUUUUAAUUGAGGUUUGACUUAAGAUUUGAUUAAGAUCUACUUAGUUUUUAAUUAAGGUUUGAUUUAAGAUUUGAUUAAUAUUCAUUAAAAU